ensembl:snRNA U2 U2 spliceosomal RNA
AUCUCUUCUUGGCCUUUUGGCUAAGAUCAAGUGCAGUAUGGACAGCCAGCCAAAUAAUACAUAUACUUUUUUAAGGUUUACAACAUUU